CUGCGAUGGCUUACCAUGCAAGUCGAGGGGCAGCAUGGUCUUAGCUUGCUAAGGCUGAUGGCGACCGGCGUAAGGGUGCGUAACGCGUAUGUAACUUGCCUUUGAGAGGGGGAUAACCCGGAGAAAUCCGGCCUAAUACCGCGUAUUCUCAAGUUGCUGCAUGGCAGUUUGAGGAAAGAUUUAUUGCUCAGAGAUAGGCAUGCGUUCCAUUAGGUAGUUGGUGAGGUAACGGCUCACCAAGCCGACGAUGGAUAGGGGAGCUGAGAGGCUGACCCCCCACACUGGGACUGAGACACGGCCCAGACUCCUACGGGAGGCAGCAGUGAGGAAUAUUGGUCAAUGGAGGCAACUCUGAACCAGCCAAGUCGCGUGAAGGAAGACUGUCCUAUGGAUUGUAAACUUCUUUAGUAGGUGAAUAGAGUCGGGCACGUGUGCCCGUAGGCAUGUAACCUAAGAAUAAGUAUCGGCUAACUCCGUGCCAGCAGCCGCGGUAAU
rnacentral:rRNA from 1 species